rnacentral:sRNA from 1 species
UGAAACAGAUUGUUUUUUAUAGUGCACC